rnacentral:misc_RNA from 1 species
AAGUCGUAACAAGGUUUCCGUAGGUGAACCUGCGGAAGGAUCAUUACCAAUAUAGCGAACCGAGCGUUAGCGAGGCUUCGCGAUCAAAUUUGUAUUUAAAACCCAACUCUUUAAAUGUAUAUUAUUAUUGUAUUUUAAAUAAUAAAAAGAUCACUUUCAACAACGGAUCUCUUGGCUCUC